rnacentral:rRNA from 1 species
GAUGAACGCUGGCGGCGUGCCUAAUACAUGCAAGUCGAGCGAACGGACGAGAAGCUUGCUUCUCUGAUGUUAGCGGCGGACGGGUGAGUAACACGUGGAUAACCUACCUAUAAGACUGGGAUAACUUCGGGAAACCGUAGCUAAUACCGGAUAAUAUUUUGAACCGCAUGGUUCAAAAGUGAAAGACGGUCUUGCUGUCACUUAUAGAUGGAUCCGCGCUGCAUUAGCUAGUUGGUAAGGUAACGGCUUACCAAGGCAACGAUGCAUAGCCGACCUGAGAGGGUGAUCGGCCACACUGGAACUGAGACACGGUCCAGACUCCUACGGGAGGCAGCAGUAGGGAAUCUUCCGCAGUGGGCGAAAGCCUGACGGAGCAACGCCGCGUGAGUGAUGAAGGUCUUCGGAUCGUAAAACUCUGUUAUUAGGGAAGAACAUAUGUGUAAGUAACUGUGCACAUCCUGACGGUACCUAAUCAGAAAGCCACGGCUAACUACGU